UUAAAACUUUCAACAACGGAUCUCUUGGUUCCGGCAUCGAUGAAGAACGCAGCGAAAUGCGAUAAUUAAUGUGAAUUGCAGAAUUCAGUGAAUCAUCGAGUCUUUGAACGCACAUUGCGCCCCCUGGUAUUCCGGGGGGCAUGCCUGUCCGAGCGUC
rnacentral:rRNA from 1 species